AUACCCUAUUAUUUAAAUCGUAAAAGUUUUAAAACUAAAGUAUUAGUAGGUAUGAUCUUUAAACUUAAAGAAUUUGGCGGUAUUAUAGUCUAUUUAGAGGAAUCUGUUAAGUAAUCGAUAGUCCACGUUGAAUCUUACUUGCAUAAAUUUUUCUUGUAUACCGCUGUUUGUGAAUAUUUUUAUAGAUAGAUUUUCUGGAUAUAGUUUUAAAUAAUAUUUCAAGUCAAGGUGCAGUAAUAUGUAAGUUGAGUAAUGGAUUACAAUAAGAUUUAUUUAUUACGGACAUAUAAUUGUAAAAUUAUUAGAAGGUGGAUUUAAUAGUAAUUUAAUAAAGAUUGUUAAAAUGAUUUAUUAGCUCUAUAAUAUGUACACAUCGCCC
rnacentral:rRNA from 1 species